CUAUAAUUAAACUUCUACUAAUUAUUCCCACUCUAAUCACUAUAACAUUCCUUACACUAAUUGAACAAAAAAUCUUAGGCUAUAUACAACUACACAAAGGACCUAACACUGUAGGUCCCUAAAGACUACUUCAACCAUUCGUUGAUGCAAUAAAACUUCUCACCAAGGAACUGUUACGGCUCUCAACAUCUACUAUUACCCUUUAUAUUAUUGCUACAACCCUUACCCUUUCUCCUCUUGUGGACUCCCCUUCCUAUAUGUGGACUCCCCUUCCUAUACCAGAUCUUCUAAUUCCACACCAAACAUAGGAAAUAUGUUCAACAAAAGAAUUACUUUGAUAGACUAAACAAUGGAGGUUAAAAUCCUCUUAUUUCUAGAACUAUGGGAAUUGAACCUACCCCUGAGAACCCAAAAUUCUCUGUGCUACUUAUUACACCAUGUCGUAAAGUAAGUUCAGCUAAAUAAGCUAUCAGACCCAUACCCUGAAAAAAUUGGUUAUACCCUUCCCUUACUAACUAAUCCAUUAGCUUAACUUAUUAUCUCCUUUACUAUUGUCACAGGAACUCUUAGCACAAUGCUAGGCUCAUACUGAUUUCUCAUCUGAACAGGACUAGGAAUAAAUAUACUAGUUCUUACCCCAAUCUUAAUUAAAAAAUUAAUCCCCGCUCUAAAGAAGCAUCCACCAAAUAUUUCCUUACACAAGCAACCACAUCUAUAAUUCUCAUGAUAGGUAUCCUUUCCACUAACCUGUCCUGCAGACAAUGAACAAUAAUAAACACUAUUAAUAAAUUUUCAUCAUUAAUAAUAAUAACAGCCCUAGUAAUAAAACUAGGAAUAGCCCCUUUUCACUUCUGAAUCCCAGCAAAAACCAAAGGAAGCUCUCUAAUAUCUGGCAUACUUCUCCUCACAUGACAAAAACUAGCCUGUAUCUUGAUUAUGUUUCAAAUUUUCCAUCAAUAAACAUGAAUAUUCUCCUAUCUAUCACAAUCUUAUUCAUUAUAGUGGGUGGUUGGGGAGGACUUAAUCAAAAACAACUUCAUAAAUUCCUAGCCUACUCCUCAAUUACUCACAUAGGUAGAAUAAUAGCAGUACUAAUUUAUAACCCAAAUAUUACCAUUCUAAACCUGAUUAUUUACUUUUAACAACUACUGCAUUUCUAAUACACAACCUAAGUAAAAGCAC
rnacentral:lncRNA from 1 species